rnacentral:rRNA from 1 species
UUGUCGUAACAAGGUCUCCGUUGGUGAACCAGCGGAGGGAUCAUU